UACGAAGGGUGCAAGCGUUAAUCGGAAUUACAGGGCGUAAAGAGUGCGUCGGCGGCCUUGUAAGUCGGAUGUGAAAGCCCCGGGCUCAACCUGGGAAUGGCAUUCGAGACUGCAGGGCUGGAGUUUGGGAGAGGGUGGUGGAAUUGCCGGUGUAGCGGUGAAAUGCGUAGAGAUCGGGAGGAACAUCAGUGGCGAAGGCGGCCACCUGGCCUAACACUGACGCUGAGGCACGAAAGCGUGAGCAGCAAACAGG
rnacentral:rRNA from 1 species